ACAAAUUCUCUUGAUUGGUCUAUUUUUCAUCCAACCGAAAAUAAAUGCUGAGGACAAAUAGAGACCACUAGCUGUAGAUAAUAGGAAUAUGUACGACGUAUUUAGCUUCUUCACUAUUUUCCUUAAUGCGAGUAUCGGACUCUUUACCUUUCUCAGGCGUAUUUUAGUCGGUGCAUUUUUGGGCGUAUUUCUGAUUCCUAGGAUGGACCGAAGUCUGCUAAUGCGAGGAUAUGAGGCUAAAGAUAAAUGUUAUGUAAACUACAUAGGAAUGAUUAUGGUUUUGAUGUGGCACACAAUCACCCUGUGAUGCGCGUGUUUUGUUUCCUUGU